AGGCCCGAAUUAGAAGCUUCUAAAACUUUUUACCCCUAAAACGAAGAAACAUAUUCCUCUCCCAGACACCGAGCGUUGCACUGCUUCCUUCCUCUGACUCGCCUCCUCCCCGACCACUAUGCCGCCACCUCCACCCUAGUCCUCUCUUAGUCGCCCGACACUUCGGCUUAAUGCAGGGUGGAGGACGCGAGAUCUGCUGUUGCAUAUGGAGAAGGGUAAGAAGUUAGGGAGGGCGUACAUUUCUUGGAAUGAUGACAUAUUUGUGGAGUACUACAACAAGGGUGACAGAUGCCAAAAUGGGUGGAAGUCUCAUGUCUACAACGGUUGUUAUCAAGAAUGACCGAGAAAAGUGCAAUAUAGAUAUCACAAAAGACUAAAUCAUGUCCAGGAUCAAUACUUUUGACAAGCUCCACACUAUUAUCAAUGGUAUGCUAGAAACAAGUGACUUUGGUUAGGCUUGGAACAAGAGCAAGAUAUUCGUUGAUAGUGAUUCUGCAUUAUUAUUACUAUUCGCGUGAUUUAUGUUGCAUGAUAAAUUGUAGGGGUAAAACUAGUCUCUAAUCUAUUGCACAUGCAAUGACUCAGCAAUACACAUGUGCAUAGCAAGGCACAUGUGUAUGUUGGUGUGUACGAGUUGAUGGGUAUUGUGUACAAGUUGAUGUGGUUACUUCCCUCCAAAUAUGUAAAUUAUAUAAUUAUCCAAACUUGAUAUUGAAUUUAAUUAA